GUGCAACAUGCCUUAUCACCUGUUUUUUAGGUGUCUCACUUCAUAAAUUUUACCUUAUCAAUGUAGAUUUUAAAUUCUUUUUUUUUUUGGACUUGAUUCAGUUUUGUGUAGGCAUCUCUCAUUUGUUCAUUGUUUUAACAUACCAUUUCCUAUUUUUGUGCUGUGUACUAAAUGCAUGCUUUGAACAUCAAGUUGCUAUGUACAGUACUACUACCAGGCUGAAUGGUGAACACAGAUACACAAGAAGCCCUAAAGUCUAACUUCAGAUAAAUGAAUGGACAAUGGGGAAG
rnacentral:lncRNA from 1 species